GAAGGCAGAAGCGGAGCGGUCCCAGCGCACAAUCUCAGAGCUCACCCAGUUUACAGCCAAGAGGAGUGAAGGGGAGAUGUCCUGCUGAAAUCUGUUUGGCAAGUCAGUAGCAACGCCGUCUGUAGAACUGAGCUCUUCAGAGUCUUCAUCCUGUGCUGUAUCCACUGAGGUAUCCCCUGCGAGGCCUAAUCAGAAGUGUUGUGCCAUUUAGCAACCGCUGCCGGAACUGGAAUCGUGCUGUCAUGAGUCUCAGAUAACUUACAGGCUUUCCUCGUGGAUGAUUACCUGGUUUCAUCUAACUGCAGCAAGAGAAAGAAAAUCCAAAUGCUGAAGGACUUACAGGCUUGUGGAUCUCUUUGAGAAGAUUAUAACAGCUAGAAAGAAACCGAUACAAGAUGAAAGCACAAGUAUUGAUAAGUCCGAAUGUAAUUAUCAGGACAGAACUGCUUGCUAAGAGACAGACUCCGCAAUUACAAGUUGUGUUGUGUUAUGUUUGUUACGAAGUUAUGAUUCAGAAGCUGUUUGGUGAAAUCCUGUGGCUCUUUGCCAGGAAUGGUGAAUGUUUCUCGUUACUGGUGCCAAACAAACUAAAAAAGAAACCAUCAUAGCUUCUUACUGCUGGUGCCAGACCAAAUACCUGUUGGCACCAAACUUGGUAUUGGUGCCAAAGGCUUGCUAUCACUGGCCUGUGAUAUGAGGAAACACUGGCUGAGUUGUCACAGUAGCCUUUUAUUGCCUCUACGUCCAUGCAUUGAGCAGAGUGAGCAACAUGGUAGGAGUACAAGAAAAUUAAUCGAAAGCUGAAGGGCUUUGAAUGUGUAAUGAAGUCACUGAACUUUGCUAGCCCUUUCUGGAAUCACCUAAGCCAGUUCAAAAACAUAUGUAUUUUACAUGGGUAAACAAGUGACUAGAGAUAGCGAAGGAUAUGUUUCCAUUCAAUUGAGUUACAGUACUAUUUAUAGCACUGUGGAUUAACAAAUGAGUCACCCUGCCAAUAAUAUUCCAGCUGAAUAACAAUAAGUAUUCCACAUUCUUAUUUCUGUUUUUUUUUUUUUUUUUUAAAUUUAUGUUCUUUGUUUUCAAAAAG
rnacentral:lncRNA from 1 species